AGGUCAGGGAAAGAUGCAGAUUUAUCCUCGGUCACUACUUUAAGGGUUUAACUACUUAAUUCACUCAUAUUAUAUAGAUCAUUGUUGUAAUGAGAUGGCUAUUAUUGGUUGUUAUAUUUACCAAAAAAGAAUCCUAAUAUAGUCCAUCUUAACAAAUAAACCACUUCUAAACAUCCGUAAUUAAGGAAUAAAAAGACGACACUGGCCUGGGUUUUUUAUCCACGGCAGAGGACAUCUGGCUUAAAGGCCUGAAAAAAAGACGACACUUGCAACAAGGAGGUAAAUAAAGUCCACCAUGAGGUCUACACUGCUUUUCGCUUUCUUGACCAUCGUUCUGACAGCCUCGUGCGUCCUCGGAAACCCCGACAAUUAUGGCACAGGUGACGGAGACAUUCGCGGCAAGAAUGCCCAAGCAAACAUGGACGAAUACGAUGGCGGAAUGAUAGACGAAUACCACAGCAAGAUUGAUGGGAAAAUGGGCUUGGGUGAUGGACGUGUGGGAAAAAAAUUAUUCUGCUAUUGUAAAUUUUUUAGUUGCAAACGCGGAUGGACCAACGCUGGCAAGUGCUCUAAGUUUUGCCUUAUCCGUCCUCUCUGCCAGAAUCGAUGCUGCAGAUAUGUUAAGCAAUAACGAACAGGCAUGAUUCUGGGCAUGCAGCCUAAAGGGCGGAUUUGACUGGCAAUACGUAUAAACAAUUAUUUUGAUAUUUGCUGUAAAAACACAAAUAGAUAUAAAUAUUC